rnacentral:rRNA from 1 species
UGCAGUCGAGCGCGAAAGCACUUCGGUGUGAGUAAAGCGGCGGACGGGUGAGUAACGCGUAGGAAUCUACCUAGUAGUGGGGGACAACUCGGGGAAACUCGAGCUAAUACCGCAUACGCCCUACGGGGGAAAGCGGGGGACCUUCGGGCCUCGUGCUAUUAGAUGAGCCUGCGUUGGAUUAGCUAGUUGGUGGGGUAAAGGCCUACCAAGGCGACGAUCCAUAGCUGGUCUGAGAGGAUGAUCAGCCACACCGGGACUGAGACACGGCCCGGACUCCUACGGGAGGCAGCAGUGGGGAAUAUUGCGCAAUGGGCGAAAGCCUGACGCAGCCAUGCCGCGUGUGUGAAGAAGGCCUUCGGGUUGUAAAGCACUUUCAAUUGGGAGGAAAGGUUCACGGUUAAUAACCGUGAGCUGUGACGUUACCUUUAGAAGAAGCACCGGCUAACUCCGUGCCAGCAGCCGCGGUAAUACGGAGGGUGCAAGCGUUAAUCGGAAUUACUGGGCGUAAAGCGCGCGUAGGUGGUCUGUUAAGUCGGAUGUGAAAGCCCCGGGCUCAACCUGGGAACUGCAUCCGAUACUGGCAGACUAGAGUGCGAGAGAGGGAGGUAGAAUUCCACGUGUAGCGGUGAAAUGCGUAGAUAUGUGGAGGAAUACCAGUGGCGAAGGCGGCCUCCUGGCUCGACACUGACACUGAGGUGCGAAAGCGUGGGGGGCAAACAGGAUUAGAUACCCUGGUAGUCCACGCCGUAAACGAUGUCUACUAGCUGUAGGGGUACUUGAGACCUUUGUAGCGCAGCUAACGCAAUAAGUAGACCGCCUGGGGAGUACGGCCGCAAGGUUAAAACUCAAAUGAAUUGACGGGGGCCCGCACAAGCAGUGGAGCAUGUGGUUUAAUUCGAUGCAACGCGAAGAACCUUACCAGGCCUUGACAUCCUCGGAACUUUCUAGAGAUAGAUUGG